rnacentral:rRNA from 1 species
AGAACGAACGCUGGCGGCAUGCCUAACACAUGCAAGUCGAACGAGACCUUCGGGUCUAGUGGCGCACGGGUGCGUAACGCGUGGGAAUCUGCCCUUGGGUUCGGGAUAACAGUUGGAAACGACUGCUAAUACCGGAUGAUGACUUCGGUCCAAAGAUUUAUCGCCCAAGGAUGAGCCCGCGUAGGAUUAGCUUGUUGGUGAGGUAAGAGCUCACCAAGGCGACGAUCCUUAGCUGGUCUGAGAGGAUGAUCAGCCACACUGGGACUGAGACACGGCCCAGACUCCUACGGGAGGCAGCAGUGGGGAAUAUUGGACAAUGGGCGAAAGCCUGAUCCAGCAAUGCCGCGUGAGUGAUGAAGGCCUUAGGUUGUAAAGCUCUUUUACCCGGGAUGAUAAUGACAGUACCGGAGAAUAAGCCCGGCUAACGUCCGUGCCAGCAGCCGC